rnacentral:rRNA from 1 species
AGAGUUUGAUUAUGGCUCAGAACGAACGCUGGUGGCGUGUCUUAUACAUGCAAGUCGAGCGAGGCAGCAAUGCCGAGCGGCGAACGGGUGAGUAACGCGUAAGCAAUCUGCCCCAUAUCAGGAAAUACCCGUGCCAACGCGCGGUUAAUGUCCAGGAGAGUGGCCCUCCGCAUGGAGGGUUGACUAGAGAUUUAUCGGUAUGGGAUGAGCUUGCGUCCGAUUAGCUAGUUGGCGGGGCAACGGCCCACCAAGGCGACGAUCGGUAGCCGGCCUGAGAGGGUGAUCGGCCACAUUGGGACUGAGAUACGGCCCAGACUCCUACGGGAGGCAGCAGUAGGGAAUAUUGCACAAUGGGGGAAACCCUGAUGCAGCAACGCCCACGUGUGGGAAGAAGCAUUUCGGUGUGUAAACCACUGUCAUGAGGGAAUAAGGCCCGCCUUCGGACGGGAUUGAAUGUACCUUGAAAGGAAGCACCGGCAAACUUCGUGCCAGCCGCCGC